rnacentral:rRNA from 1 species
CCUACGGGGGGCAGCAGUAGGGAAUAUUGCUCAAUGGGGGAAACCCUGAAGCAGCAACGCCGCGUGGAGGAUGAAGGUUUUCGGAUUGUAAACUCCUUUUGUUAGAGAAGAUAAUGACGGUAUCUAACGAAUAAGCACCGGCUAACUCCGUGCCAGCAGCCGCGGUAAUACGGAGGGUGCAAGCGUUACUCGGAAUCACUGGGCGUAAAGAGCGCGUAGGCGGGUUAGCAAGUCAGAUGUGAAAUCCUAUGGCUUAACCAUAGAACUGCAUUUGAAACUGUUAUUCUAGAGUAUGGGAGAGGUAGGUGGAAUUCUUGGUCUAGGGGUAGAAUGCGUAGAGAUCAAGAGGAAUACUCAUUGCGAAGGCGACCUGCUAGAACAUAACUGACGCUGAUGCGCGAAAGCGUGGGGAGCAAACAGGAUUAGAUACCCGGGUAGUC